rnacentral:rRNA from 1 species
ACUACGGGUGGCAGCAGUGAGGAAUAUUGGUCAAUGGACGAGAGUCUGAACCAGCCAAGUAGCGUGAAGGAUGACUGCCCUAUGGGUUGUAAACUUCUUUUAUAUGGGAAUAAAAUGUUCCACGUGUGGGAUUUUGUAUGUACCAUAUGAAUAAGGAUCGGCUAACUCCGUGCCAGCGGCCGCGGUAAUACGGAGGAUCCGAGCGUUAUCCGGAUUGAUUGGGUUUAAAGGGAGCGUCGGUGGAUUGUUAAGUCAGUUGUGAAAGUUUGGGGCUCAACAGUAAAAUUGCAGUUGAUACUGGCAGUCUUGAGUACAGUAGAGGAGGGCGGAAUUCGUGGUGUAGCGGUGAAAUGCUUAGAUAUCACGAAGAACUCCGAUUGCGAAGGCAGUUCACUGGACUGCAACUGACACUGAGGCUCGAAAGUGUGGGUAUCAAACAGGAUUAGAUACCCGAGUAGUC